UUUGCGAAAAACUGGGGGAACUUCGCAUAAAGGGGAAGAGGUGCAAAUGUCUGCCUAACUCUCUUUCUACCGUGAUAGAAAGAAUGACUCCACAGCUAACUGAUGCAUGCUAGUUGCUUCUAACUAAGCACAAACAAACUAACCCUUCCGUGGCAGAAGGGAAUGACACUUUGCAAAUUAACCGCAUGCUCUCCCGUUUCCUUGCAGGUGCCCUGACUCUGGCGCUCCCACCUGGUGAUGACCGACGGAGCGCUGACAGGCACAUCCAGGGCAUGGCUGCUCCCCCGCGCCCCGCCCUCCCCAAACAUCUCUGACGGACGGUUGGCUGCAGCCCAGGAAGCACCGUCGCGCCGCGGCCUGCAUCCCAGCCCCGCCCCUCCGAGCGGGAAGGAGGGCUGUGUGGAAUGCUCCAGCUCCCUCGCCAGCCUAAACGCAAGCCCGCUCUUUCCAGUGCAAUAAAACGAGAUGUACAACAA